UACGGGGGGGGCAAGCGUUGUUCGGAAUUACUGGGCGUAAAGGGCUCGUAGGCGGCCAACUAAGUCGGAUGUGAAAUCCCCAGGCUCAACCUGGGAACUGCAUCCGAUACUGGAUGGCUUGAAUCCGGGAGAGGGAUGCAGAAUUCCAGGUGUAGCGGUGAAAUGCGUAGAUAUUCGGAGGAACACCGAUGGCGAAGGCAAUCCCCUGGGCCUGCACUGACGCUCAUGCACGAAAGCGUGGGGAGCAAACAGG
rnacentral:rRNA from 1 species